CAGUGAGCUUAGAGCCGCCACACCAGAAGAAGCAAGGUGACGAUUUUCCACAAGGGUCUGCUGCUGAAAUAAACAGCACACCUUUCACUUUUUAAAUUGUUAUGGGCGAGUUUAGGGAGGCAAGCAAGACAGGGGGGAGAAAAGGAGGGAGGACGAACCCUGAAGGAGGCCACACUGACAGACAACAGACACUUAAAGGCACAAGGAAUCUGAUUAGCAUGCUUUGGUUUUGCAUUCUAACCUCGUGAAACAGCCGCACCGUGCUAGUGAAAGAUUGCAGCUGGAUGUUUCUCCCUUCCAUUUAAACUCCGUCUCAGCCAUGAUCUGACGAGGAACCUUCGCAAUAGAGAGUCAUUGACUAGACUGGGAAUGCUCUCUAAACUUCUUCAAUAAAGCUGGAGUCUCAGGGUAGAGUCAACUGUGUUUCAUUUCACCGUGGAGAAGACUUAACGCUACUCGCUAUUUGUCUGGGCCCAAGUCAGCACAACAUACUGUUGAGAACUAAUGAUCACUCUUUGGCACGGAAUAUACGCGGCUCAAAACAUCGGCAAGUGCACUCUGCAGUCCAGUGUGGUUUAUAUCUGAUUGGAGUCAGUUACAUUAAUGGCUCUUUGCUUGGUCUUCUCUAUGUUCUCUUGCAGCUGCUCUGUGACAGGAUUCUCAAAGCUUACCAUCGUGCAGAAAACUAAUUACAUUUAGAAAAAAAAAAAUAGCUUAGCACAGCUGCCAGGAAUUUGUGGCAUGGAAGUUGGAAAUUCCCAAUGGCAGGCACGAGGGACAUGUGGGGGUUAUGAGCACCUGGGAAUUUUCUUCAAAAACGCUCCCCUUCUACAAAGGCUGGCCCAAUAAACCAUCUUUCCCCUUAAGUCUGAAGAAGGGUUCUGCUCUUUCCAUACACCCACCACUCUCUGAGUGAAAAAAAUUGCCCCUCAGCUUCCUAUUAAAUCUUUCCCCUCACUACCGUAAACCUAUGCCCUCUGGUUCUUCAAAGUACCAGGGAGCAGCAGAAACGUCAAUAUGUAGAAGGGUCCCGAACCGAAACGUCACCUGUUCCUUUUCUCCAGACAUGCUGCCUGACCCCCUGAGUUACUCCAGCAUUUUGUGUCUGUCCUUCCUCUUAACCUACCUUUGAUAUUUUUAUAUUUAGUAAAUGAAUGCAAAGUAAACAUGUAGACCUAGAGAUGAGUCCACACACUCAUCUCCCUGCUUCCUUCAGGUAGAAGGUACAGGAGCCUGAAGACUGCAACAGCUAGGUUCAGGAAUAUCUACUUCCCCACAGCCAUCGGGCUAUUAAACCUGGCUCGGACAAAACUCUGAUUAUUAAUAACCCAUUUUCUGUUAUUUGCACUUUAUCAGUUUAUUUAUUCAUGUGUGUAUAUAUUUAUAUUAUGGUAUAUGGACACACUUAUCUGUUUUGUAGUAAAUGCCUACCAUGUUCUGUGUGCUGAAGCAAAGCAAGAAUUUCAUUGUCCUAUACAGGGACACAUGACAAUAAACUCACUUGAACUUGAACUUGAGUCAAUGUGUGAAAGGUGGGAUCGGUACAGCACAGGGGACCAGCACCUAUUUCGAUGGUGGCGAAGGGAGAGUGUUAUUUUUACGUGUAUGAUGCUGGAUAUAUGAGUGUUGAGCCUUAGAGAUAUUCAGCAUAGAAUCUGGCCCUUCAGCCCCAUAUACCCGUCCUAGUGCCCUUCACAUGCUGUUAUAAUACUGUCUCAUCUGCUUCCUCUUUCCAUACACCCAACACCCAACACCUUCUGAGUGAACAGGUUGCCCCUCAGUUUCCUAUUAAAUCCUUCCCCUCUCUACCAUAAGCAUAUGUCUGCUGGUUCUUCAAAACAGCAGGUGAGCAGCAGAAAGGUCCUUCUGCAGAAGCGUCCUGACCUGAAACCUCACCGAUCCAUGAUCACAUUGAAUGGCGGUACUGGCUCGAAGGGCCGAAUGGCCUACUCCUGCACCUAUUGUCUAUUGAUCCAUGUAUUCCAGAGAUGUUGCCUGACCCACUGAGUUACUCCAGCACUUUGCGUGAUUUCCUCAGGUUCUUGAUUCCACUACUCUGGGAAAUAAAUCAUCAUAUCUAUUCCCUUCAUAAUUUUACGCCUCUCUAUUAGAUCACUUCAAAGCCUUCUGCGCUCCAAGGAAUAAAGUCCCAGGCUGCACAACCUCUCCCUAUCGUUCAGGCUCUGGAGUCCUGGCACCAUCCUUGUGAAUCUCCUCUGCACCCUUUCCAGCUUCAUGACAGUCUGUCAUAUUGCACAGGAACUCAGAAGUUCAUCUGUAAGGUAGCAUGCUAACACAAGCUGUUAAUCAAAACCCCCUUCACCAGCAUUCACAUGCGGUGGGUGGCAUGGUGGCACAACGGUAGAGUUGCUGCCUUACUGCACCAGAGACCCGGGUUCAAUCCUGACUACGGGAGCUGGCAGUGCGGAGUUUGUAUGUUCGCCCCAUGACCAACGUGGAUUUCCUCCCACACUCCAAAGACGUAGAGGUUUGUAGGGUAAUUGGCUUGGUAUAGUUGUAAAUUGUUCCAAGUGUGGGAUAGUGUUAGUGUGUGGGGAUCGAUGGUCAGCGCGUAUUCGGUCGGCCGAAGGUCCUGUUUCCACGCUGUAUCUCUAAACUAAACUAAACACGAAAACUAAACUAUCACUUGCCGCACUUUGUCCUAUCCCACUUGGCUAUUCCAGCUGUCUACCCCCUACUACAGUCAGUCUGAGGAAGGGUCCUGACCCAGAACAUCGACUAUCUAUUCUCUCUAUGGACGCUGCCUGACCUGCCGAGUUGCUCCAGCACUUUGUGAACUGCACCAGGUGACAGAUGAGCUGCCGACUUGCGACCAUGGUGAGGAGGCAGAUGAUGAUGGAGAUGUCCAUUUUGAAUCCCUGACUUGUACGAGAGAGAGAUCCGAGAUCCCGCCGCGCUUUGCAAAACAAGAAUCUGUUUCUCAUCAUCCACCUCCAUGAUCGCAAGAAUGCAACUCAAUCCGUGGCGGAUGAUUCAUUCGAGGAGCAGCGUGAACAUGGUCCUGUCUGUACCAUGGCUGUGGCCCGGACCAGGGGAGUACAGCACAUCAUGCCACUUGAAAUCAUCAAUCAUCAACAAUGUUCAGCUCAUCUCCCCUUACAAGUAAAAUACCUACAGAGUUCAGGCACCUUCCCCAAGUUAAAAGCUUCAGAGUGUGACUGCAACAAUCUCCUUAGAUGAAUGUCGAUUUAGAUUUGGGAUAUAACAGGGGCUAGCCUUUGUAACUGCAGGUUAGUAAUCCCUUUCUUUGCCUCUUCCUCAAAGGUGUGACAUUAUUGAGGCCAGGCUCUAUAAAUGUGUUUUAUCCUU